CACGUAGGGUGCGAGCGUUGUCCGGAAUUAUUGGGCGUAAAGAGCUCGUAGGCGGCUUGUCACGUCGGGUGUGAAAGCCCGGGGCUUAACCCCGAGCCUGCUUCUGAUACGGGCAGACUAGAGGUAUGCAGGGGAGAACGGAAUUCCUGGUGUAGCGGUGAAAUGCGCAGAUAUCAGGAGGAACACCGGUGGCGAAGGCGGUUCUCUGGGCAUUACCUGACGCUGAGGAGCGAAAGUGUGGGGAGCGAACAGG
rnacentral:rRNA from 1 species